rnacentral:rRNA from 1 species
AACGAACGCUGGCGGCAUGCCUAACACAUGCAAGUCGAACGAGACCUUCGGGUCUAGUGGCGCACGGGUGCGUAACGCGUGGGAACCUGCCCUUAGGUUCGGAAUAACUCCCCGAAAGGGGUGCUAAUACCGGAUAAUGUCUUCGGACCAAAGAUUUAUCGCGUUUGGAUGGGCCCGCGUUGGAUUAGCUAGUUGGUAGGGUAAAAGCCUACCAAGGCGACGAUCCAUAGCUGGUCUGAGAGGAUGAUCAGCCCCACUGGGACUGAGACACGGCCCAGACUCCUACGGGAGGCAGCAGUGGGGAAUAUUGGACGAUGGGCGAAAGCCUGAUCCAGCAGUGCCGCGUGAGUGAUGAAGGCCUUAGGGUUGUAAAGCUCUUUUACCCGGGAUGAUAAUGACAGUACCGGGAGAAUAAGCUCCGGCUAACUCCGUG